UGGCUAACUCCUACGGGAGGCAGCAGUGGGGAAUUUUGGACAGUGGGCGCAAGCCUGAUCCAGCCAUGCCGCGUGUGUGAAGAAGGCCUUUUGGUUGUAAAGCACUUUAAGCGAGGAGGAGGCUACUUGGAUUAAUACUCUAGGAUAGUGGACGUUACUCGCAGAAUAAGCACCGGCUAACUCUGUGCCAGCAGCCGCGGUAAUACAGAGGGUGCGAGCGUUAAUUGGAUUUACUGGGCGUAAAGCGUGCGUAGGCGGCUUUUUAAGUCGGAUGUGAAAUCCCUGAGCUUAACUUAGGAAUUGCAUUCGAUACUGGGAUGCUAGAGUAUGGGAGAGGAUGGUAGAAUUCCAGGUGUAGCGGUGAAAUGCGUAGAGAUCUGGAGGAAUACCGAUGGCGAAGGCAGCCAUCUGGCCUAAUACUGACGCUGAGGUACGAAAGCAUGGGGAGCAAACAGGAUUAGAAACCCUUGUAGUCCAGCUGG
rnacentral:rRNA from 1 species